UCAAGCUAAAAAGGGCGCAAGGUGAAUGCCUUGGCACUGGGAGCCGAUGAAAGACGUGGUAAGCUGCGAAAAGCUUCGGGGAGGAGCAAACAUCCAUUGAUCCGGAGAUAUCUGAAUGGGGCAACCCAAUGGAGUUCAUACUCCAUUAUCCAAUACUGAAUCCAUAGGUAUUGGAAGGGAACCGCCUGAACUGAAACAUCUAAGUAGGGCGAGGAAGAGACAUCAAACGAGAUUCCGUAAGUAGUGGCGAGCGAACGCGGAAGAGGGCAAACCGAGAGUAGAAAUACUUUCGGGGUACGGAGCGCAUUUAGGACUUAAGUUGUUAACCGAACGGCAUGGGAAGGCCGGUCAGAGAGUGUGAGAACCACGUAGGUGAAAACGGAGAGAGCUGCGCAGGAUCCAGAGUACGGCCAGACACGUGAAACCUGGUCGGAAUAUGGGGGGACCACCCUCCAACCCUAAAUACUACCCAGUGACCGAUAGCGUAUAGUACUGUGAAGGAAAGGUGAAAAGGACCCCGGGAGGGGAGUGAAAGAGAACCUGAAACCUUGUGCCUACAAGCACAUAGAGCCCGUCAAAGGGUGAUAUGGUACUUUUUGUAGAACGGUCCGGCGAGCGAUUGUACGUUGCGAGCUUAAGGUCUUAAGGACUGGAGGCGUAGCGAGAGCGAGUCUAAACAGGGCGUUUAGUAGCGUGCAAUGGGCCCGAAACCGGGUGACCUACCCAUGAUCAGGCUGAAGUGAAAGUAAAAUUUCAUGGAGGGCCGAACCGACCUCCGUUGAAAAGGCGGCGGAUGAAUUGUGGGUAGCGGAGAAAUUCCAAUCGAACUCGGAGAUAGCUGGUUCUCCCCGAAAUAGCUUUAGGGCUAGCCUCAUGUUAGAUAUCCGGAGGUAAAGCACUGAAUGGCCUAGCGUCCGAGAGGAUAGCGAAGCCUAUCAAACUAAGAAUGCCGGAAUAUUGAUGCAUGGGAGUCAGACAGUGUGAGAUAAAUCUCAUUGUCAAAAGGGAAACAGCCCAGAUCUACAGCUAAGGUCCCAAAUUGUAUCUAAGUGGAAAACGAUGUGGAAAUACGCAGACAACCAGGAUGUUGGCUCAGAAGCAGCCACUCAUUUAAAGAGUGCGUAAUAGCUCACUGGUCGAGCGUCUCUGCGCGGAAAAUUUAACGGGGCUAAGAUACAAACCGAAGCUUAGGCUGCACUUUUAGUGCGGGGUAGGGGAGCGUUGUGUAAGCGGAGAAACAGUAGCGUAAGCGGCUGUGGAGUUUACAGAAGUGAGAAUGCCGGAAUGAGUAGCGCGAAUGAUGUGAGAAUCAUCAUGGCCGGAAACCUCAGGUUUUUGGAGGAAGGUUCGUCCGCUCCAAGUUAGGCGGGAGCUAAGGUGAGGCCGAAAGGCGUAGCCGAUGCACAGACGGUAGAGAUUCCGUCCCCACCGAAAGAUUUAAGCGCAGGGACACUUUUAGAAGGUCGGAGCCAGGUGUUGGUUCUGGUAGAGAUCGAGGGAAAUUUAGUACCGAAGUCCGGCUGGAUAAGAGGCGAGAAAAGCUGCGUGUAUAUCUAAGGUGCCCGUACCGCAAACCGACACAGGUAGGUAGGAAGAAGAUUCUAAGGCCAACGGGAGAAGGGUUGUUAAGGAACUCGGCAAAUUGACCCCGUAACUUCGGGAGAAGGGGUGCUCCAGAGAUGGAGCCGCAGAGAAUCGGCCCAAGCAACUGUUUACCAAAAACACAGGUUUGUGCUAAAUCGAAAGAUGACGUAUACGAGCUGACGCCUGCCCGGUGCUGGAAGGUUAAGAGGAGAUGUGCAAGCAUUGAAUCGAAGCCCCAGUGAACGGCGGCCGUAACUAUAACGGUCCUAAGGUAGCGAAAUUCCUUGUCAGGUAAG
rnacentral:rRNA from 1 species